rnacentral:rRNA from 1 species
AUUGAACGCUGGUGGCAGGCCUAACACAUGCAAGUCGAGCGAGCGGCGGACGGGUGAGUAAUGUAUGGGAAUCUGCCCGAUGGAGGGGGAUAACUACUGGAAACGGUAGCUAAUACCGCAUACCAUCGGAUGUACCCAGAUGGGAUUAGCUUGUAGGUAGGGUAACGGCUUACCUAGGCGACGAUCCCUAGCUGGUCUGAGAGGAUGAUCAGCCACACUGGGACUGAGACACGGUCCAGACUCCUACGGGAGGCAGCAGUGGGGAAUAUUGCACAAUGGGCGCAAGCCUGAUGCAGCCAUGCCGCGUGUAUGAAGAAGGCCUUCGGGUUGUAAAGUACUUUCAGUCGGGAGGCGUUACCCACAGAAGAAGCACCGGCUAACUCCGUGCCAGCCGCCGCGGUAAUUC